ACUCCUACGGGAGGCAGCAGUGGGGAAUAUUGCACAAUGGGCGCAAGCCUGAUGCAGCCAUGCCGCGUGUAUGAAGAAGGCCUUCGGGUUGUAAAGUACUUUCAGCAGUGAGGAAGGCGGAGUCGUUAAUAGCGGCCUCGUUUGACGUUAGCUGCAGAAGAAGCACCGGCUAACUCCGUGCCAGCAGCCGCGGUAAUACGGAGGGUGCGAGCGUUAAUCGGAAUUACUGGGCGUAAAGCGCAUGCAGGUGGUUUGUUAAGUCAGAUGUGAAAGCCCGGGGCUCAACCUCGGAAUUGCAUUUGAAACUGGCAGCUAAGAGUACUGUAGAGGGGGGUAGAAUUUCAGGUGUAGCGGUGAAAUGCGUAGAGAUCUGAAGGAAUACCGGUGGCGAAGGCGGCCCCCUGGACAGAUACUGACACUCAGAUGCGAAA
rnacentral:rRNA from 1 species